rnacentral:rRNA from 1 species
AAUCAACGCUGGCGGCGUGCCUAACACAUGCAAGUCGAGCGAGAAAAGGGGAGCAAUCCCCUGAGUAAAGCGGCGCACGGGUGAGUAACACGUGGGUAAUCUGCCCUGAAGUGGGGAAUAACACCGGGAAACCGGUGCUAAUACCGCAUAUGAUCACGGUGUCUGCGGACACAGGGAUGAAAGGAGCAAUUAGCUUCAGGAGGAGCCCGCGGCUGAUUAGCUAGUUGGUGAGGUAAUGGCUCACCAAGGCAACGAUCAGUAUCCGGUCUGAGAGGACGGUCGGACACACUGGAACUGAGACACGGUCCAGACUCCUACGGGAGGCAGCAGUGGGGAAUUUUUCGCAAUGGGGGCAACCCUGACGAAGCAACGCCGCGUGGGUGAUGAAGUCUCUUGGGACGUAAAACCCUUUCGACAGGGAAGAAACCGCAAGGUUGACGGUACCUGUAGAAGAAGCCCCGGCUAACUCCGUGCCAGCCGCCGCAGUAAUAC